GCGUUGGACGCCGCUCGCCGGCGCUGCUCCCGCCGGGCAGCACCGGGCACUGCCCGGCAGUUGAUUGCAGCGGCGCGCGGUGCUGCUGUUGCACUCUGCUGCAACAGCAGCGUCGCAGGGUGCGACGCUGCUGCUGCAAAAAAUUAUGGCAGCAGGCGCUGCUGCUACUGUAGCAGCAGCGCCCACUGCCUGGUACCUCUGCAGAGGCGGCGUCGGCAAUGAAGAAAGAAGAAAGGGCCGUUUGUUCUAGGGUUU
rnacentral:sRNA from 1 species